rnacentral:rRNA from 1 species
UUGAGCGAUUUACUUCGGUAAAGAGCGGCGGACGGGUGAGUAACGCGUGGGUAACCUACCCUGUACACACGGAUAACAUACCGAAAGGUAUGCUAAUACGGGAUAAUAUAUUUGAGAGGCAUCUCUUGAAUAUCAAAGGUGAGCCAGUACAGGAUGGACCCGCGUCUGAUUAGCUAGUUGGUAAGGUAACGGCUUACCAAGGCGACGAUCAGUAGCCGACCUGAGAGGGUGAUCGGCCACCUUGGAACUGAGACACGGUCCAAACUCCUACGGGAGGCAGCAGUGGGGAAUAUUGCACAAUGGGCGAAAGCCUGAUGCAGCAACGCCGCGGGAGUGAUGAAGGCCUUCGGGUCGUAAAACUCUGUCCUCAAGGAAGAUAAUGACGGUACUUGAGGAGGAAGCCCCGGCUAACUACGUGCCAGCAGCCGCGGUAAUACGUAGGGGGCUAGCGUUAUCCG